CCUACGGGAGGCAGCAGUGGGGAAUAUUGGACAAUGGGCGAAAGCCUGAUCCAGCAAUGCCGCGUGAGUGAUGAAGGCCUUCGGGUCGUAAAGCUCUUUUACCAGGGAUGAUAAUGACAGUACCUGGAGAAUAAGCUCCGGCUAACUCCGUGCCAGCAGCCGCGGUAAUACGGAGGGAGCUAGCGUUGUUCGGAAUUACUGGGCGUAAAGAGUACGUAGGCGGUUAUUCAAGUCAGAGGUGAAAGCCCGGGGCUCAACCCCGGAACUGCCUUUGAAACUAGAUAACUAGAGUCUUGGAGAGGUUAGUGGAAUUCCGAGUGUAGAGGUGAAAUUCGUAGAUAUUCGGAAGAACACCAGUGGCGAAGGCGACUAACUGGACAAGUACUGACGCUGAGGUACGAAAGCGUGGGGAGCAAACAGGAUUAGAUACCCUGGUAGUCCACGCCGUAAACGAUGAUAACUAGUUGUUCGGUCACUUGGUGACUGAGUGACGCAGCUAACGCAUUAAGUUAUCCGCCUGGGGAUACGGUCGCAAGNUUAAAACNCAAAGAUUGACGNUGAGANGCGAGACGACACGAGGAGAG
rnacentral:rRNA from 1 species